AACGCCAAAUGCGUAUGACAUGACAGUCAUGAUGUUGGAACUACUGGUACGAGGAACUAUUCAUAAUACAUGCAGUUCUUUUUCUUCAUAAUUCUGAUCCCUUUUGGAAGUCAGUUUUAGAGGGCCACAUCAAAUUUAUUGAGGGAAGUAUUCAUAAGAUUCACAAGCUUUAACUUAACUUUGCGUGCAUUCAAAGUCUUUUCAGGAAAUUUUGUAUUGUUAUUAACUUUCAUUUCUGUCUAUAUGGUUCUUUCAAGACCGAAUAAGGCUCUGAUUGUAGAAAUAUCAUAAAAAGGACUUACAACAACAGUAACAAACGUGAUUUUAGACCAAGAACAUGCUAUGACCUGAAUUUUGAUAUAAAGAUCUAUUUUUAUUGUACCUCUUAUAUUUUAAAAUAAAAAUUGAAUAAAAAAUAA
rnacentral:lncRNA from 1 species